rnacentral:rRNA from 1 species
UACAGAGGGUGCAAGCGUUAAUCGGAUUUACUGGGCGUAAAGCGUGUGUAGGUGGCUCGCUAAGUCGGUUGUGAAAUCCCUGGGCUCAACCUGGGAAUUGCAGUCGAUACUGAUGAGCUCGAGUUCGGUAGAGGGUGACGGAAUUCCCGGUGUAGCGGUGAAAUGCGUAGAUAUCAGGAGGAACACCGAUGGCGAAGGCAGGUCUCUGGGCAUUAACUGACGCUGAGGAGCGAAAGCGUGGGGAGCGAACAGG